CAUACCUUAAAAAAAAAGACAGGGUCUACUUUAAAGGUUUAUAAACACUAGACACCCUCUCCUAGGAUGUCUUCCUUGAAUAUAGCUCAUUCCAUGUUCACACAGCAAACAUGUACUGUAAGAAACCACUCUCACACGUAUGUCAUUGUACCCUGCGGUAAUAGCAUCAGAUGGAGGGGCAUGGAACACAGAGGAAGCUCUGGGCUCUGGCUAGACCCACAGACUACAACCAGGAGAAGGGGUGAGAGACUGAAGAAGACAGAAGACCUCGCACUGCUUCUGUGGAGCCUCAUCUUGGUUACCACUCCCUGGCCUACAAUUGUGUGAUCAUAGUCACAUGUCCCAGGUGAUAUCCCAUCCCCAGGACCCAAGUGGACGCUGGCUACACAUGGCAGGUCUGAGAUUCCAGCCGUAGAAGACAGGGUCUCUGGGGUAGGUGGUAUUAAAUCCAGCUCUGGAUUUAACCAAUGGACCCUGCCUCAAUGAAUGAUGUAGAAAGCUUCCUGAUUAUCAAGCUCAGGCUUGAUAGGGGGAAGCUAUAUAUUGUGAUGCUUGUAAUCUUAGUCUUGGGGAGAUAGGAAGAUUUUUUUAGGGUUCAUUAGCUUAACCUGUGAGACUCGAGUCUCAGUAAGAGUCCCUAUCUUAGAAACAGGAGGAUGAUACUGAACUGCUUAUACUACAGGCUGACUUCUGGCCUCCACAGACAUGUGCAUACGCACGUGUGCACACAUGUAUAGGUGCCCCUGAAAAAACAUGAACAUACACACAUGCAUGGCCGCAGUGAAAGAGGGAGAAAGGACUUCCUCCUCAUCAGCGUUGUCAAGCACAGGCAACACUUGAAUCCUGAGCGCCAGGGAGGGCUACAACUGUUUUGUCCCAAGCUGUUUCUUCAUUAUUUCUCCACCUCCUUACAGGGGCACAGAUUACAGGCCAAGCUGUGGAUAAAGUGAACCCUGGCUUUACCAGAACGGGGACAAAGACAUGAAAGCUGUUAUUGUGCUAAUCCUAGCACCGUUCAACUGUGCCAAGCUUGCAAGGAGGGCACAUGAGGCCAGCACAGACUGAGGUAAGUCCCAAGAGACAGGCAGCAGACAGGGAGGAGAUGGAGACGGGGAAAGUUGUGUAAAGGAGGGGGUGGGUGCCUAUGGUGGGACAGACAUGAUUUCCCCAAUGCCCGGAAGGUAGUAACCCGAGUGGUUGUGGUGGAGAGGGCUGCAGAAGAGGGUGGGAAUUCUCUGGGUCUUGAAAGCCUUUCAGUGAGUUGAAUCUUCACCUGGGAGAGAAGAGAGGCCACCAAUGACUUGGAUUCUGUAUCUGGCCCAGGCUCAGGGUUAGUCAGAAGUCUGUUGAAUGGAAAUCUGUCUCCUCUGUAUCUGGGUGCCCCAUAAUUUGAGAAGCCCUGCCCUGAAUUCUGAAAUCUUCAGAUCGAGCAACCACAUUGCUGUCUGAUUUAGGUAGAGAAGAAUUCUUCUUGCUAGAGCCUCCUUUUGUCUGGCCCGGGGGAUCCUGGCUCCACUGUAGCUGUUGGCAGGUUUCAGUUCUUGCCACCAACAAGGAGGGACAGGAAGAGAGGUCCUUGAUGACCGACCUAGCUGGGUGGAACCUUGGAGAGCUCCCAUCUUGUCUCCUCUGUAGAUGAGGGAAUCACGGGCUACACAGGCUUCAUUAGGUGGCUUGCUGCUUGUCUGUCAUUCGAGGAACAAUCGGUGCCUGAGAACGGAAGCUCUGGAAAGGAAGCAAUGGAAGAGCGAGGAGACAACUUACAUGCAGAACGGGAGAAAGUCUUUGCCAGCUCUAUAUCCAACAGGGCAUUAAUAUCUAAGGUCUGUCUAGGACUUUUCCAUCUCCAAAAAUUAAAAACUAAGAACACACCAAUCAUUCAGGCAAUAAGUGGGCUGUUGAACUGAAUGGGCAGUUCUCGAAAGAAGAAAUACGAAUAGCUAAUAAAUACUCGAGAAAACAAAAAUCA
rnacentral:sRNA from 1 species